GCUCAGGAUGAACGCUGGCGGCGUGCCUAAUACAUGCAAGUCGAACGAAACUUCUUUAUCACCGAGUGCUUGCACUCACCGAUAAAGAGUUGAGUGGCGAACGGGUGAGUAACACGUGGGCAACCUGCCCAAAAGAGGGGGAUAACACUUGGAAACAGGUGCUAAUACCGCAUAACCAUAGUUACCGCAUGGUAACUAUGUAAAAGGUGGCUAUGCUACCGCUUUUGGAUGGGCCCGCGGCGCAUUAGCUAGUUGGUGAGGUAAAGGCUUACCAAGGCAAUGAUGCGUAGCCGAACUGAGAGGUUGAUCGGCCACAUUGGGACUGAGACACGGCCCAAACUCCUACGGGAGGCAGCAGUAGGGAAUCUUCCACAAUGGGCGAAAGCCUGAUGGAGCAACGCCGCGUGGGUGAAGAAGGUCUUCGGAUCGUAAAACCCUGUUGUUAGAGAAGAAAGUGCGUGAGAGUAACUGUUCACGUUUCGACGGUAUCUAACCAGAAAGCCACGGCUAACUACGUGCCAGCAGCCGCGGUAAUACGUAGGUGGCAAGCGUUAUCCGGAUUUAUUGGGCGUAAAGGGAACGCAGGCGGUCUUUUAAGUCUGAUGUGAAAGCCUUCGGCUUAACCGGAGUAGUGCAUUGGAAACUGGGAGACUUGAGUGCAGAAGAGGAGAGUGGAACUCCAUGUGUAGCGGUGAAAUGCGUAGAUAUAUGGAAGAACACCAGUGGCGAAAGCGGCUCUCUGGUCUGUAACUGACGCUGAGGUUCGAAAGCGUGGGUAGCAAACAGGAUUAGAUACCCUGGUAGUCCACGCCGUAAACGAUGAAUGCUAAGUGUUGGAGGGUUUCCGCCCUUCAGUGCUGCAGCUAACGCAAUAAGCAUUCCGCCUGGGGAGUACGACCGCAAGGUUGAAACUCAAAGGAAUUGACGGGGGCCCGCACAAGCGGUGGAGCAUGUGGUUUAAUUCGAAGCAACGCGAAGAACCUUACCAGGUCUUGACAUCUUCUGACAAUCCUAGAGAUAGGACUUUCCCUUCGGGGACAGAAUGACAGGUGGUGCAUGGUUGUCGUCAGCUCGUGUCGUGAGAUGUUGGGUUAAGUCCCGCAACGAGCGCAACCCUUAUUGUUAGUUGCCAGCAUUAAGUUGGGCACUCUAGCAAGACUGCCGGUGACAAACCGGAGGAAGGUGGGGAUGACGUCAAAUCAUCAUGCCCCUUAUGACCUGGGCUACACACGUGCUACAAUGGACGGUACAACGAGUCGCAAGACCGCGAGGUUUAGCAAAUCUCUUAAAGCCGUUCUCAGUUCGGAUUGUAGGCUGCAACUCGCCUACAUGAAGUCGGAAUCGCUAGUAAUCGCGGAUCAGCAUGCCGCGGUGAAUACGUUCCCGGGCCUUGUACACACCGCCCGUCACACCAUGAGAGUUUGUAACACCCAAAGCCGGUGGGGUAACCUUUUGGAGCCAGCCGUCUAAGGUGGGACAGAUGAUUGGGGUGAAGUC
rnacentral:rRNA from 2 species